rnacentral:rRNA from 1 species
UGAGUAACACGUAUCCAACCUGCCGUCUACUCUUGGACAGCCUUCUGAAAGGAAGAUUCAUACAAGAUGGCAUCAUGAGUCCGCAUGUUCACAUGAUUAAAGGUAUUCCGGUAGACGAUGGGGAUGCGUUCCAUUAGAUAGUAGGCGGGGUAACGGCCCACCUAGUCUUCGAUGGAUAGGGGUUCUGAGAGGAAGGUCCCCCACAUUGGAACUGAGACACGGUCCAA